GGGAGGGAUUGCAGUGUCGCCGCUGAAGUGACGUUUCGGCUCGCGUCGCGGUUAUUACCGAGGGGUUCCGGGGAACCCGAGGCUUACAGAUGAAGUGUGACCGAAGCUGAGGGGUGGUUGACAUUGAAACCCAGAGGUUCAACCUCCAGAACAUCCCUGGCCCCAGCAGCCGCUUCUUGGUAUGCUUUUGCACCACCUGUUCCGCAGUGGGAGGCACGGAAAAGGAAACUUCCCAAAUUGCACGUGAAGUUUGCAGAGCCUCCCCGACCCAUCCCUUAUUUCCUGAUCAAUAAUUUGCGUGGGAUUGUCUCUCAAGAAUGUAAGUGUGUCAGGAACCCUGACACUGUCAUGAAGAGCAAGAAGGAAAAACUCAGAGAAUUCAAACUCAGCUGGAAACUGCUGGAGGAGCUGCCAGACGCAAUCAAGGAAGAGGAGAAACACUGGGGCCUGAAAAAAGAGAGCAUGAAACAUACCUCGUAUGCACGGUGCAGCGGAAAAGGCGAGAAACGGAAAUCUCUCCACGAUGCAGACACAAGUACAGUAUCUAAAGAAAACCUUUAUACAGGAUAAUAUUCAAGAUGCAGGGUGGCAGUAAGGAGCUCCAGCACCUGGACAGAUUGAGGCCACCUCUGACCAGUUUGGCUGGGGACAAGGGGAAGGGAUGGAAACAUCCCCAAAGGAUCACUGAACUCUGACACCAUUUGGCAGUCCCCCCACUUCCGUUCCACUCCGUAUGAAAUAUUCCUCAGUUACUCCAUUACCUUGAA